AUGACGUUCGACCUUCAAUUGUGUGUAAUUCAACGUAUACACAAAAAUGUGACAAAAGUUCAUAGUGAAAACAACGAGAAGUUCAAGUACUGCAAGGAAUGCAUUUCAAUACCAUAUAACUGGAAUUAUCGAUGCAAGUCGAAGAAGGAUUGGCCCGUGUUGCCGGCUGGUGUCAAGUUCGAUCCCACGGAUCAGGAGCUGAUCGAGCACCUUGAGGCCAAAGUGAGUGCUGACAGCGCGAGAUUUCAGUCUCUCAUCGAUUUGUUCAUACCAACCAUCGACAGCGAGCACGGCAUAUGUUACACCCAACCUAAGAAACUUCCAGUGCUGCACACUAACAAGAACUUCGACCAGCAGAGGACCAACUGGGUGAUGCACCAGUACCACCUCGGGGACCUGGAGCAAGAGAAGGAGCGGGAGCUGUUGUACUACCUUGUCGUCCGCAAGUUGGUAUUGUUGUUAACAAUCUUUUGGUCGAGCAAGUUUCAACUGGGCUGUAGAUUGCCCAGGGUUGUUUUGUUUUUAACAGGCCCAGCCCAUGACGACAACGGGGCACAAAGAUCCAGCAGGUAG
rnacentral:rRNA from 1 species